rnacentral:rRNA from 1 species
CCUACGGGUGGCAGCAGUGGGGAAUAUUGCACAAUGGGCGAAAGCCUGAUGCAGCAACGCCGCGUGAAGGAAGAAGGGUUUCGGCUCGUAAACUUCUAUCAACAGGGACGAAAGAAAUGACGGUACCUGAAUAAGAAGCCCCGGCUAACUAAGUGCCAGCAGCCGCGGUAAUACGUAGGGGGCAAGCGUUAUCCGGAAUUACUGGGUGUAAAGGGUGAGUAGGUGGCAUGGUAAGCCAGAUGUGAAAGCCUUGGGCUUAACCGUAGGAUUGCAUUUGAAACUAGCAAGCUAGAGUACAGGAGAGGAGAGCGGAAUUCGUGGUGUAGCGGUGAAAUGCUUAGAUAUUAGGAAGAACACCAGUGGCGAAGGCAGCUUACUGGACUGAAACUGACGCUGAGGCACGAAAGUGUGGGUAUCGAACAGGAUUAGAUACCCGGGUAGUC